CUCCCUGUAGCGCAAUGGAUAGCGCGUUGGACAUCUGAUCCAAAGGCUAUGGUUUCAAACUCCCACCUGGGAUG